CUGAGAAUUUGAUCUUGGUUCAGAUUGAACGCUGGCGGCGUGGAUGAGGCAUGCAAGUCGAACGGAAUAAUGACUUCGGUUGUUAUUUAGUGGCGGAAGGGUUAGUAAUACAUAGAUAAUCUGUCCUCAACUUGGGAAUAACGGUUGGAAACGACCGCUAAUACCGAAUGUGGUAUGUUUAGGCAUCUAAAGCAUAUUAAAGAAGGGGAUCUUCGGACCUUUCGGUUGAGGGAGAGUCUAUGGGAUAUCAGCUUGUUGGUGGGGUAAUGGCCUACCAAGGCUUUGACGUCUAGGCGGAUUGAGAGAUUGACCGCCAACACUGGGACUGAGACACUGCCCAGACUUCUACGGAAGGCUGCAGUCGAGAAUCUUUCGCAAUGGACGAAAGUCUGACGAAGCGACGCCGCGUGUGUGAUGAAGGCUCUAGGGUUGUAAAGCACUUUCGCUUGGGAAUAAGAGAGAUUGGCUAAUAUCCAAUCGAUUUGAGCGUACCAGGUAAAGAAGCACCGGCUAACUCCGUGCCAGCAGCUGCGGUAAUACGGAGGGUGCUAGCGUUAAUCGGAUUUAUUGGGCGUAAAGGGCGUGUAGGCGGAAAGGAAAGUUAGAUGUUAAAUCUUGGGGCUCAACCCCAAGCCAGCAUCUAAUACUAUCUUUCUAGAGGGUAGAUGGAGAAAAGGGAAUUCCACGUGUAGCGGUGAAAUGCGUAGAUAUGUGGAAGAACACCAGUGGCGAAGGCGCUUUUCUAAUUUACACCUGACGCUAAGGCGCGAAAGCAAGGGGAGCAAACAGGAUUAGAUACCCUGGUAGUCCUUGCCGUAAACGAUGCAUACUUGAUGUGGAUAGUCUCAACCCUAUCCGUGUCGUAGCUAACGCGUUAAGUAUGCCGCCUGAGGAGUACACUCGCAAGGGUGAAACUCAAAAGAAUUGACGGGGGCCCGCACAAGCAGUGGAGCAUGUGGUUUAAUUCGAUGCAACGCGAAGAACCUUACCUGGGCUUGACAUGUAUUUGACCGCGGCAGAAAUGUCGUUUUCCGCAAGGACAGAUACACAGGUGCUGCAUGGCUGUCGUCAGCUCGUGCCGUGAGGUGUUGGGUUAAGUCCCGCAACGAGCGCAACCCUUAUCGUUAGUUGCCAACACUUAGGGUGGGAACUCUAACGAGACUGCCUGGGUUAAUCAGGAGGAAGGCGAGGAUGACGUCAAGUCAGCAUGGCCCUUAUGCCCAGGGCUACACACGUGCUACAAUGGCCAGUACAGAAGGUAGCAAUAUCGUGAGAUGGAGCAAAUCCUCAAAGCUGGCCCCAGUUCGGAUUGUAGUCUGCAACUCGACUACAUGAAGUCGGAAUUGCUAGUAAUGGCGUGUCAGCUAUAACGCCGUGAAUACGUUCCCGGGCCUUGUACACACCGCCCGUCACAUCAUGGGAGUUGGUUUUGCCUUAAGUCGUUGACUCAACCUGCAAAGGAGAGAGGCGCCCAAGGUGAGGCUGAUGACUGGGAUGAAGUCGUAACAAGGUAGCCCUACCGGAAGGUGGGGCUGGAUCACCUCCUUU
rnacentral:rRNA from 1 species